rnacentral:rRNA from 1 species
GACGGAGGAGGCAAGCGUUAUCCGGAAUUAUUGGGCGUAAAGGGUACGUAGGCGGCUGGUCAAGUCUGGGGUCAAAGGCCACAGCUCAACUGUGGGAAGGCCCUGGAAACUGACCGGCUAGAGUGAGGUAGGGGUUGCGGGAAUUCCCGGUGUAGCGGUGAAAUGCGUAGAGAUCGGGAAGAACACCUGAGGCGGAAGCGUGCACCGGGGCCUCAACUGACGCUGAGGUACGAAAGCUAGGGGAGCGAAUGGG